AUUGAACGCUGGCGGCAUGCUUUACACAUGCAAGUCGAACGGCAGCGCGGGCUUCGGCCUGGCGGCGAGUGGCGAACGGGUGAGUAAUGCAUCGGAAAGUGCCCAGUAGUGGGGGAUAGCCCGGCGAAAGCCGGAUUAAUACCGCAUACGACCUGAGGGUGAAAGCGGGGGACCGAUAGGCCUCGCGCUAUUGGAGCGGCCGAUGUCGGCUUAGCUAGUUGGUGGGGUAAAGGCUUACAAAGGCGACGAUCCGUAGAUGGUCUGAGAGGACGACCAGCCACACUGGGACUGAGACACGGCCCAGACUCCGACGAGAGGCAGCAUGGGGGAAUUUUGGACAAUGGGGGCAACCCUGAUCCAGCCAUGCCGCGUGCGGGAAGAAGGCCUUCGGGUUGUAAACCGCUUUUGUUCGGGAAGAAAUCCUCUGGGCUAAUACCCCGGGGGGAUGACGGUACCGGAAGAAUAAGCACCGGCUAACUACGUG
rnacentral:rRNA from 1 species